rnacentral:rRNA from 1 species
AGCAGCCGCGGUAAUUCCAGCUCCAAUAGCGUAUAUUAAAGUUGUUGCAGUUAAAAAGCUCGUAGUUGAAUUUCGGGGUUAGUAGGUUGGUCAUGCCUCUGGUAUGUACUGGUCUCACUGAUUCCUCCUUCCUGAUGAACCGUAAUGCCAUUAAUUUGGUGUGGCGGGGAAUCAGGACUGUUACUUUGAAAAAAUUUAGAGUGUUUAAAGCAGGCUCGCGCUUGAAUACAUUAGCAUGGAAUAAUGAAAUAGGACGUUUGACCCUAUUUUGUUGGUUUCUAGGAUCGACGUAAUGAUUAAUAGGGAUAGUUGGGGGCAUUAGUAUUCAAUUGUCAGAGGUGAAAUUCUUGGAUUUAUUGAAGACUAACUACUGCGAAAGCAUUUGCCAAGGAUGUUUUCAUUAAUCAAGAACGAAAGUUAGGGGAUCGAAGACGAUCAGAUACCGUCGUAGUCUUAACCAUAAACUAUGCCGACUAGGGAUCGGAUGAUGUUAAUUUUUUAAUGACUCAUUCGGCGCCUU